GAUGAAGAACGUAGCGAAAUGCGAUAAGUAAUGUGAAUUGCAGAAUUCAGUGAAUCAUCGAAUCUUUGAACGCACAUUGCGCCCGCCAGUAUUCUGGCGGGCAUGCCUGUUCGAGCGUCAUUACAACCCUCAAGCCCCCCGGCUUGGUGUUGGGGACCGGCCACCGGUGCCCUGCUGCUUCCGCGGCAGGCGCACCCGGCCGCCCCCGAAAUGAAUUGGCGGCCCCGUCGCGGCCUCCCUCUGCGUAGUAGCACACAUCUCUCAGCUGGAGCGCGGCGCGGCCACUGCCGUAAAACGCACCAACUUUUUUUACAGUUGACCUCGAAUCAGGUAGGAAUACCCGCUGAACUUAAGCAUAUCAAUAAGCGGAGGA
rnacentral:misc_RNA from 1 species